GCCGUUAGAUCCGGUCGUUCUUUUUCCACUUGUUCAGCUUCCAAGAGAGUCCAUGACAUGUAGGGCCAAAUACGUGCGGGGUCCAGCGGUCGGAGGCAGGCAGAGGCACCGGUCUGCGUCACCUUCCUUCUCCACGCGUGGUGAAAACCUAGACACCCAAUCCGUCGCCUCGCUCUCCUCGUCCCCAAUCCCCGCCUCCUCUCCUCGCCCCAAUCAGCCGCCUCCUCCUCUCUUCCUCCCAAUCGGCGACCUCGGUCGGAAUGGAACGGAGCGGCGGCAAGCUGGGCAGGACGCGGCCGGCGCGACCGGGAGGCGCCGGCGCGGCCGGAGAUGGGCCAGCGCGGGCGGAUCCGCGGCGGUGACGACCGGAGGCGACACGCGCGGCCGGACACAGGCCGGCGCUGGGCGGAUCCGCGGCGGCGACGGGCGCGGCCAGAGAUGGGCCGGCGCUGGGUGGAUCCGCGGCGACGACGACAAGAGGCGACGGGCGCGGCCAGAGACAGGGGCGGGCGAGCUCUAGCUUUAGCGGGGGCGGCCGUAAGCGAGCGCGGCGAGCUCCGGCUCCGGCAAGGGGCGGGCGGGCGCGGCGACCUCUGACUGGGACGGGCGCAGGCGAGCUCCACCUACAGCGGGGAGCAUCACAUCCUAACAUCUGACAGGUAAAAUCCUAACCCUACCUCAUGUAUUUCCCGAUCUGGCAGUGAUGUGCACGGUCAGGGAUCUGCUGCAGAUACUGCAGACUUUGGAAGAUUUGGAUGGAGUGGAUACUCCCGUUCAUCUUUGGUAAUAUUGAAGUUUUGGAAUCUGGACUUAGUAUAUCUCCAAUGUGUGCUGCUUUUUGUCUCUCACUCGGUUUCCCAAGUUUCUGAUCCUAUUUUUGUGCAUGAAUUUGUACUCCGUAAGUUAUUUGCUUUCCUCACUCUCUACGUUUGGCAUCCCAUGCCAAAAUCGAAGGUCACAGACCCCCAGCCAUGCAGCAAAGCUAUCCUGCUGUGGGCCUUCCUUUCAAGAUUUUGGGAUGGGCUGCGUCUUGCUUGACAUGGUAUGCACACCUAUUUUCUGAUUCCACCAUUAAAUAUCAAAUUAUAUCAGCUGCUUUUUUCUUAUCUGCAUAUAUCUGCUUGUUCUUGAAUCAUUGUCAGUAGAUGUGAACCUGCAAAUGACAAAUGAAUAAACUUGUUAUGAAUAUGCUGAAUCUACGUGCUAAUUUAGUUCCUCUUCCUUUAACAUGCUUAACCUGUGUUUUCAGAAAAGUUCAUGUGAGAAUCACUGUUACCAGUUUAUCGAGUUCAGAGAAGAUGGUGUUUGUUUCCUACAAACAAUCAUGCCAAUUCGUGAGGUGCCAUCUAACUAUAUGCAUAUAUGCAUUUUUGCACUUUGUGCAUCGUUCCGUGUAUAAAUAUUUUCCUCAACAAGAUAUGUUUUCCCAUAUCACUGCUUCAGUUAUUUGUCUUGAUAAAUGUUCCCAGCUAAUCACCACUGGUUCUAAUUUAAUAAAUUUAGAAUAUUUUUCUGUAAGUGGAUGAUUACAUGCUCCUUGUUUGGUUACUUUCAAGUACAGAAAACAUACAUAAAUGAACUUAUUUGUUCUCAGAGGAAUUUCGAGCUGAUAUAUGUAAUUCUCACAGUAGUCAAUUUAGAGCUAGAUUUUCGGUUCAGUGUUCCAAUUGGUCCCAGGGAUUGCUUUAGGAUACAACAGAUUCCGCCCAGGCAGCAGCUAAUCAGUGCAUUUGAAUCAUACAACCUUCACUGCUAAACGGCAGGCGCUCAUAAUGCAUUUAAAUCCAGUCAGUAGAAACUAUUCAACAGAUGUAGUCUAUGAAUGUCUUCAGUUAUUAUGUCCAGCCAUUUAUCUGCAUUGAGUUAGUACCUACUUUAGGCUCGGUACAAAUUAAUACUGCUAUUAGCUUCCAUGACAUGAGCUUUAUCCAACUCUAUAGACUUAUGUGUAAUAUUGUUGCCACUUUCUAGCUGGAAUGAAAAAAACGAAGGUUCUCCCCUUGGUUGGUUUCAAGAUCAGAAUAUUCUUCUCCCCUGAAAACUAUUAGAAAGAGACAUAUAAGAACAUGCUCAAUGUAUUUGAGGUCACCAUUAGUUUAUGCAUGCAUUUUAGGAAAAUAUUAUGUGGAUUUGGUUGUAGGUGAUGUGUCUUUUAACUUUCCUCCGUCGCAUGGCAUUUUUUUUUUGGCCAGGUGACCCUUUAACUUUUUAUGCAUCAGGAUACCGUUAUUGUUGUGCGGAACCUUUAUAUGUAUCUGUUUGAAAAAACUUCAGUGACUGACCAUCAUCUUUGUCCAUUUAUCUUGCUAUAUAAAUAUUUGUAAUUUUCACUGUUGAUUCAUAUUAUACAUAUGGGCUAAUGGUGUUGGUUUCGUAGAGAAAUACAAUAUUUUCGUUGAAAUAAAAUCAUGUUAUGUGUUCCUUGACAUACUCUAUCAGGUAUGAUGCAGCCUGGAGACAAGACUUUGCAAGCUUCUGUACAUGCCAAUAGAGUUGGUAUAAAGGUGAAGAACUUCAAGGCCUUGUUGGUUUGCAAGGCGCUGGUUGUUGAUGCGAGCUUAUUUGGAGCCUCCAGAUUAUCCUGGGCAUCAUCAAAAGGAUGGCAGCAAUGGACUUUGUCAUGGAUCUGAGCAAAAAGAAGAGUCCUGGGAAGGUGAUUUGUAGGAAGGAGGCGACCAGUACUGGUCAAAACUGUUGUGUUAGAGGAGGAUUUGGUCCUUUCUUUCGUUAAAAUGGUAAGAGAUGCCUGCAAAGUAUUACUCCACUGAAGUCUGAGAUGAGUACACAGGAGUAUGAUUCUUCUAGCAGGCUGCAGGCAGGGA